rnacentral:misc_RNA from 1 species
UAAUUCCUUCCCAGGGAUGGAGCUUCUGUUUCUACAGAGGUUUCUACCAGGGGUGUUGGCACCUGGCGCCGCCUAGGCGACCGGAGCCCAAAUGCAGUGGCGGACGCGCAAGCGGCUCCUAGCGCAGUAGAAAACAAACUUCGCUCAGGAGGCUCGCAGCAGCGGACUAUAGCCCCAACGCAAAGAUUUUUUUGCAAUAAAAAC